ensembl:ncRNA C15H7.7 ncRNA
GAACACGCUAAUUAGACAGAUCCGAGAAAAGGGAAAGAAAUAAGGAUACGGUAGUCGGGAGUGUUGCGAACUACCAGAAAACCAGUUCAGAAUGGGAUUAAAAAAGGCAAGGCAGGUGAGGAUAUACAAGAGGAUUUACAAGAAAGA